rnacentral:rRNA from 1 species
CAUCGACAUCUUGAACGCAUAUGGCGGCCUCGGGUCCAUCCCGAGGCCACGCCCGUCUGAGGGUCGGCU